CCUACGGGGGGCUGCAGUGGGGAAUAUUGGACAAUGGGCGAAAGCCUGAUCCAGCCAUGCCGCGUGUAUGAAGAAGGCCUUCGGGUUGUAAAGCACUUUCAGUGGGGAAGAAAGCCUUGGGGCUAAUACCCUCGAGGAAGGACAUCACCCACAGAAGAAGCACCGGCUAACUCCGUGCCAGCAGCCGCGGUAAUACGGAGGGUGCGAGCGUUAAUCGGAAUUACUGGGCGUAAAGCGCGCGUAGGCGGUCUGAUAAGCCGGUUGUGAAAGCCCCGGGCUCAACCUGGGAACGGCAUCCGGAACUGUCAGGCUAGAGUGCAGGAGAGGAAGGUAGAAUUCCCGGUGUAGCGGUGAAAUGCGUAGAGAUCGGGAGGAAUACCAGUGGCGAAGGCGGCCUUCUGGACUGACACUGACGCUGAGGUGCGAAAGCGUGGGUAGCAAACAGGAUUAGAUACCCGAGUAGUC
rnacentral:rRNA from 1 species